AUCCUUUCCUGGCAGGGGAGAGGCUGUGAUCACGAAGGUGGUUUUCCCAGGGUAAGGCUUAUCCAUCGCACUCCGGAGGUGCUGGCCCCUGUGAUUUCCCCGAAAGUGGGAAGCUUGACUGCAAAAUUUGUGGUGGGUAGGCUGGGGGACCGCGUUCACACUGUUUCCUG